CUUGCUCUCUGGGUGGCGAGUGGCGGACGGGUGAGGAAUACAUCGGAAUCUACCUUUUCGUGGGGGAUAACGUAGGGAAACUUACGCUAAUACCGCAUACGACCUUCGGGUGAAAGCAGGGGACCUUCGGGCCUUGCGCGGAUAGAUGAGCCGAUGUCGGAUUAGCUAGUUGGCGGGGUAAAGGCCCACCAAGGCGACGAUCCGUAGCUGGUCUGAGAGGAUGAUCAGCCACACUGGAACUGAGACACGGUCCAGACUCCUACGGGAGGCAGCAGUGGGGAAUAUUGGACAAUGGGCGCAAGCCUGAUCCAGCCAUACCGCGUGGGUGAAGAAGGCCUUCGGGUUGUAAAGCCCUUUUGUUGGGAAAGAAAAGCAGCCAGUUAAUACCUGGUUGUUCUGACGGUACCCAAAGAAUAAGCACCGGCUAACUUCGUGCCAGCAGCCGCGGUAAUACGAAGGGUGCAAGCGUUACUCGGAAUUACUGGGCGUAAAGCGUGCGUAGGUGGUUGUUUAAGUCUGUUGUGAAAGCCCUGGGCUCAACCUGGGAAUUGCAGUGGAU
rnacentral:rRNA from 1 species